UAGAGUUUGAUCAUGGCUCAGGAUGAACGCUGGCGGCGUGCCUAAUACAUGCAAGUCGUACGAAGGAGCUUGCUCCUUAGUGGCGAACGGGUGAGUAAUACAUAAAUAAUCUGCCUCAAUGUCUGGGAUAACUAUUGGAAACGAUAGCUAAUACCGGAUAGCUUGUUAGAAGACAUCUUCUUUCAACUAAAGGAGCGUUCGCUCCGCUUUGAGAUGAGUUUAUGGCGCAUUAGUUAGUUGGCGGGGUAAUGGCCCACCAAGACGAUGAUGCGUAGCCGAUCUGAGAGGAUGACCGGCCACACUGGGACUGAGACACGGCCCAGACUCCUACGGGAGGCAGCAGUAGGGAAUUUUCGGCAAUGGGCGAAAGCCUGACCGAGCAACGCCGCGUGAGUGAUGAAGGCCUUCGGGUUGUAAAGCUCUGUUGUUAGGGAAGAAUGAUCAGGAUAGGAAAUGAUCUUGAAGUGACGGUACCUAACCAGAAAGCCACGGCUAACUACGUACCAGCAGCCGCGGUAAUACGUAGGUGGCAAGCGUUAUCCGGAAUUAUUGGGCGUAAAGGGUGCGUAGGCGGUUUCUUAAGUCUUAUGUGAAAUCUCAGAGCUUAACUCUGGGCUGCAUAAGAAACUAUUAGACUAGAGUGCAGGAGAGGGCAACGGAAUUCCAUGUGUAGCGGUAAAAUGCGUAGAUAUAUGGAGGAACACCGGUGGCGAAGGCGGUUGCCUGGCCUGUUACUGACGCUGAAGCACGAAAGCGUGGGGAGCAAAUAGGAUUAGAUACCCUAGUAGUCCACGCUGUAAACGAUGAAUACUAAGUGUUGGGAUAAAACUCAGUGCUGC
rnacentral:rRNA from 1 species